rnacentral:rRNA from 1 species
CAUUAAACAUUCCGCCUGGGGAGUACGGUCGCAAGAUUAAAACUCAAAGGAAUAGACGGGGACCCGCACAAGUGGUGGAGCAUGUGGUUUAAUUCGAAGAUACGCGAAGAACCUUACCUGGCCUUGACAUCCCAAGAACCCUCCAGAGAUGGAGGGGUGCCCCUUUUGGGGAACUUGGUGACAGGUGCUGCACGGCUGUCGUCAGCUCGUGUCGUGAGAUGUUGGGUUAAGUCCCGCAACGAGCGCAACCCUCGUGUUUAGUUGCUAACAGUUCGGCUGAGCACUCUAGACAGACUGCCUCCGCAAGGAGGAGGAAGGUGAGGACGACGUCAAGUCAUCAUGGUCCUUACGGCCAGGGCGACACACGUGCUACAAUGGGUAGGACAAUGAGACGCAAUACCGCGAGGUGGAGCAAAUCUAUAAACCUACUCUCAGUUCGGAUUGUAGUCUGCAACUCGACUACAUGAAGCUGGAAUCACUAGUAAUCGUAGAUCAGCCAUGCUACGGUGAAUACGUUCCCGGGUCUUGUACUCACCGCCCGUCACACCAUGGGAGUUGAGUUCACCCGAAGCGGGGAAGCUAAACUGGCUACCUGCCACGGUGGGCUCAGCGACUGGGGUGAAGUCGUAACAAGGUA